CUGCCCAAUGACUAAAUUAGUUAAAUGGCCGCGGUAUCCUGACCGUGCAAAGGUAGCAUAAUCAUUUGCCCCUUAAUUAGGGGCUAGUAUGAAAGGACAAACGAAAGCUUCCCUGUCUCAUUGUAGUAACCAAAAAUUAAUCUUCAAGUGAAAAAGCUUGAAUAAAAUUGUAGGACAAGAAGACCCCGUUGAGCUUAAUUUUUAAUAGAAAACAUUAUUUACUACUAUAAUUCUUAACCUAGCCUAAAAUUUAGUUGGGGUGACUAAGGAAUACCAAAAACUUCCUCUCCGAACCCAGGAUCAUUCUCCACUUUAAUUGACCCUCAACCGAGAUCAAAAAAAAUAAGCUACCACAGGGAUAACAGGCUAAUCUUUCUUAAGAGUUCAAAUUGUCAGAAAGGAUUGGCACCUCGAUGUUGGCUUAGGGGCCCCUAACGGUGCAGAAGCCGUAAAGGUAGGUUUGUUCAACCUUUAAAACC
rnacentral:rRNA from 1 species